rnacentral:rRNA from 1 species
ACUAUAUCUAGCCCAAACUCCCACUUCCCACCUAAACUACUAAAACAAACUAAAACAAAACAUUUACCUUAACUAAAGUAUAGGAGAUAGAAAUUUUAAACACGGCGCUAUAGAGAAAGUACCGUAAGGGAACGAUGAAAGAAAAAAUCAAAGUAUAAAAAAGCAAAGAYUAACCCUUGUACCUUUUGCAUAAUGAAUUAACGAGCAAAAAACUUAACAAAACGAAUUUUAGCUAAGUAACCCGAAACCAGACGAGCUACUYAUGGACAGUUUAUUAGAACCAACUCAUCUAUGUGGCAAAAUAGUGAGAAGAUCCAUAAGUAGAGGUGACACGCCUAACGAGCCUGGUGAUAGCUGGUUGUCCAGAAAACGAAUUUCAGUUCAGCUUUAAAKWWGMCAAAAAUAUAAAUAAAUUUCACUGUAUCUUUAAAAGUUAGUCUAAAAAGGUACAGCUUUUUAGAAANNNNNNNNNNNNNNNNNNNNNNNNNNNNNNNAACAACACCAUAGUAGGCCUAAAAGCAGYCAUCAAUYANNNNNNNNNNNNNNNNNNNNNNNNNNNNNNNNNWWAAUCCCAGCAACAAUACAACUAACUCCUAGAUCCAAUACUGGACUAUUCUAUUAUUAAAUAGAAGCAAUAAUGUUAAUAUGAGUAACAAGAAACAUUUUCUCCUCGCACAAGUUUAAGUCAGUACCUGAUAAUACCCUGACUGUUAACAGUAAAUAAAAACAACCCAACAAUAAAUGAUUUAUUAAUUGUACUGUUAAYCCAACACAGGAGUGCAUCCAGGAAAGAUUAAAAGAAGUAAAAGGAACUCGGCAAACACAAACCCCGCCUGUUUACCAAAAACAUCACCUCCAGCAUCCCCAGUAUUGGAGGCACUGCCUGCCCAGUGACUAGACGUUAAACGGCCGCGGUAUCCUGACCGUGCAAAGGUAGCAUAAUCAUUUGUUCUCUAAAUAAGGACUUGUAUGAAUGGCCACAYGAGGGUUUUACUGUCUCUUACUUCCAAUCAGUGAAAUUGACCUCCCCGUGAAGAGGCGGGGAUAAAACAACAAGACGAGAAGACCCUAUGGAGCUUUAACUAACCAGUCCAAARAAAAUAAACUUAACCAUCAAGGGACAACAACACUCUCUAUGGACUAGCAGUUUUGGUUGGGGUGACCUCGGAGAAYAAAAAAUCCUCCGAACGAUUUUAAAGACUAGACCUACAAGUCAAAUUAAACUAUCGAUUAUUGAUCCAAAAACUUGAUCAACGGAACAAGUUACCCUAGGGAUAACAGCGCAAUCCUAUUCAAGAGUCCAUAUCGACAAUAGGGUUUACGACCUCGAUGUUGGAUCAGGACACCCCGAUGGUGCAACCGCUAUCAAAGGUUCGUUUGUUCAACGAUUAAAGUCCUACGUGAUCUGAGUUCAGACCGGAGCAAUCCAGGUCGGUUUCUAUCUGUUAUGUAUUUCUCCCAGUACGAAAGGACAAGAGAAAUAAGGCCAACUUCAACAAAGCGCCUUAAACUAAUUAAUGACCUCAUCUCAAUUAAUUUCACAAACAUAAACCUGCCCUAGAAAAGGGCCCA